AGCGAACGCUGGCGGCAGGCCUAACACAUGCAAGUCGAACGAACCUUUCGGGGUUAGUGGCGGACGGGUGAGUAACACGUGGGAACGUGCCUUUAGGUUCGGAAUAACUCAGGGAAACUUGUGCUAAUACCGAAUGUGCCCUUCGGGGGAAAGAUUUAUCGCCUUUAGAGCGGCCCGCGUCUGAUUAGCUAGUUGGUUGAGGUAAUGGCUCACCAAGGCGACGAUCAGUAGCUGGUCUGAGAGGAUGAUCGGCCACAUUGGGACUGAGACACGGCCCAAACUCCUACGGGAGGCAGCAGUGGGGAAUCUUGAGCAAUGGGCGAAAGCCUGACGCAGCCAUGCCGCGUGAAUGAUGAAGGUCUUAGGAUUGUAAAAUUCUUUCACCGGGGACGAUAAUGACGGUACCCGGAGAAGAAGCCCCGGCUAACUUCGUG
rnacentral:rRNA from 1 species